GCACGCAGAGCUGUGUUGAAGGACAUACUUUUCAGGUUCCUGACAGUCACUGAGCUAUACGCAAUAAUAAAGUGCGUGAUUCGCGUGUGGAAACCAGUGUCGUGUCCUUACCAGCUUCCUUUUCUGUCCACCUUCCCUCUCUCUUCUACCUCCGUUUCGCUUUUCUUCAGUGCAUGUUAGCGGUUUGCUGGAUUUCCCUUCUCCCUCGCUGUUCAACUGCUAGCAUGAUUUGUUACAUUUUCCACAGCUGUUUAUUCUUGUUUGACUUUUUGUACAAAGUCACUUUAAAUCUGCUGCAGAAAGAAUAAAGCACCUAGCCCUUUGGAUGGACUCCUGCAGGCGUGUGGCUGUCCCUGGCCCACUUUUAAUUCUUUGGAGAUGGCUCUUCUGUGUAAAUCAGCUGCUGGGUGCGUUCGGUCACCUCGUAGGCCAGCCUAGUUUGUAUCAGCAGAACAGUAGUGGACUCGACUCAGGUCGUAAGCCUUAUAUUUCACAGACAAUUAAAUCUUGGCUGCUGUUGAACAAAACUGUAAUAUUUACUUUGUUCUAUACCGAGAAGCACUUUUAAAGUAAAAAAGAAAAAAAAACCAAAUACUACACUUCAAAAAGAAAAUAUGACAAUGAAUCUCUUUUUAUGGAUUCUCUCUGCAUAAGUGGAAACAAUAUGAUUUAAAUCCCCAACACCCCAUCCCCCUUUUCAGACACAGCUGAAGUGAUACAGAUACUGUCUUCUAACACAUAAUCUCCCUCUCUCGGGAGAGGCACCUGCCUGUGCUACAUUCGAUUUAGUUUGUAAGGUUUCAGGCCCCUCCCCGACCCAUGUAAUAUGUAACAAGGAUUAUCAAAUAAUAAGGUCUUGGAUGUGAAGUCUGCUUUACACAAGAAUUCAAGAAAGAUAGGCAGGACUUGAGUAAUUAUGUUACAACUUCAUAUUACUUUCCAAAUGAAUACCCAUUUUCUUCUCAUGUCAACUUCUAGAGAUGGGAUGCUGAGGCAGAGAAAUAUUUUUAUGAGACUCUGGAGUACAUACUAAAAUGUGCUUCCUUAUUAUUUAAGAAUGUGUAAGGUAUGGACCUACAUUUGUUUGCUGGUGGUCAUAAAAUAAAUUCAUAGCCAUUGUGGCCAAUAAGCAAUCUCCUUCACGCUUUAAAAGUUUUUGGUUUAUAAUCCCACCUGGAUUGUAUUUUCACUAUUCUGUAUCACCCUCCUAUUGCAAUAUUUUGGUUCUCAAUCUUAUGUAAAGCAAACCUCAGAAAUGAUCGUUUCCAUAAAAUUGUGCAAUGGCAAAGCCACAGAAUAAUAUUUUGAGUCCAUAUAGCCGUGCAUGCUCAUCUAUAUAGCUCUUAUACAGUUUUCUAGCUGAUUGCUUUGGUAUUUCAAGAAAUAGGAAGCAGUAGCUACCUAUUUUAAUGAAAGGGUACCAUUUCAUAAGAAUUCUAUUUUCACUGAAAAAAUUGGUCUGGCACAUUAUUCAAUGCAAAAGAUUAUAAUAUUACUUUCACGUGUGUUAAUCUGUUUAGUAUAAAACUGCUAGGGUGUCUUAACCAUUAACGCGUUUUGCCACACUACUUUCAAAUGGUGAUCUGAGAUAAUUACGAAGAUUUUGAUGUUAAUCCCACGUUAAAUGAACAACUAUGAAAAUAAUCUUAAAGCAUUAUUACUCCCAUAUACAUGCCAGCAAACCCAAUUGUGGAGAGAACAUGAUUACUUUUUAUCUGACAUUAUCCUAUAAGGAUAUGGCUACAUUUAUUUCUUUUAAAAUUGGAGCAGUUUUCAAUUACUUUUUAACAGAAUUGUUUUCAACACAGCAUUUUGCAGUGCCCAUAAACCAUAGCAACUUUGUCCUGAUCGAUACAUAUUUUUCUGCAUUAUUAUUCAUUAGCCUCUUUGCAAACUCACUAAAAUAGAAUAGUAUUAAAGUAUGAAUAUAUAGAGAACAAUUAUUAGGUUCUACAUAUUUAUUUAGGUAAACCAAUGUUAUUAAAAUUAAAAACAUGUGCCUGGCAUAUAAGUGCUUCUUCAGGAAUUCUUUUUUGGAUGCAUAGUUAUUAUUUUUUAAACAAACUCAGAUUUUCAAACACUGAUUUUCUUCUCUGAACGGGCAUUGCAUUGUUUUAAACAGUAGCUCCUGGAAUAAUGCCACCUUUAGUAUUUUAGACUUUCAAACAACAAUUGGAAUUGGAUAAAUGCUUUCAGCUGGGAGCACUUUCCUAAUACCUUUGUAGGUAAUGGGAUUCUCUAUUUGUGCUGGGUGACAAACGGACAGUGCCCUGGACAGACUGCCUACCCUCUGCAGAAUCUACCAAAAAGUAGAGUUUUCCCAUGAGACUGCUUGUGGUCCAUCUAAAAAUGAAAAAAUAAUCAGAGAAAAUGCGCAAAGCCUUUUCUAACUACAGUUAUGAAAUGAUGGCUUAAAGAGGUAUUUAGAAAAUAAGAGUGGAGUAAUACAGAAACAAAAUCUGAAGAAGAAAGUUUGCUUAGGAGCUGAUGCUCUUUGUCUACAAACAAGAGGGUAAGGAGCUGGAUCCAAUUGAAUUGAAUUGUUUUUGUUUGCUUGUUUGUUUUCUUCCAUUCAGUGCCUUUCAAACUGUUUUUUACUGGAUGAAGAAACUCAACCAAGAAAAUAUAUGUCGAUUCUUGUAUAUGGGACAAUAUUAGCUGCUGUGAUUUUUAAUACUAGCAUAAAAUAUAAGAAUCUUUUUAUUACUGUGAUAUUGUUUUUUCCUAAAUGAAUGCAUAGUGUAACAAUUGGUGUCAAAAAGCAUUGAAUUUUUUUCAGAUGGAUUAAGCUGGAAUAAUAAAGUAUAUCUAUGAGAUGAUUUCUGUAAACUCUGACUUGCUGAGAAAAAAGUGAAAAAGCUUUUUCUGGAAGAAACAUGGCAACUUAACCGUUAUUAAUCUGGACUAAAUAAAACAGGAAACUGCUUCUUUACAUUUCUAGUAAUUUUUUCUGCUUUUCCAAACAUUGUUAAGUUCUAUGCAACUUGUGCUAUUCAAGUAAAGAUGAUGUCAGUAAUAAAAUUACAGAAUCUA
rnacentral:misc_RNA from 1 species